UACGUAGGGGGCGAGCGUUGUCCGGAGUUACUGGGCGUAAAGCGCACGCAGGCGGUCUGCUAAGUUUGGAGUGACAGUUGGCGGCUUAACUGCCAAAGUGCUUCGAAAACUGACAGACUUGAGGGCUUCAGAGGGACACGGAAUUCCGGGUGGAGUGGUGAAAUGCGUAGAGAUCCGGAGGAACACCAAAGGCGAAGGCAGUGUCCUGGGGAGUACCUGACGCUCAGGUGCGAAAGCCAGGGGAGCGAACGGG
rnacentral:rRNA from 1 species